rnacentral:sRNA from 1 species
AAUUAUUUAUGGCUGCUAAUGAGUACUACUAAAAAUUCUUUGGGUUCAAAUCAGUUUCAGUUCUGAUUAGAUUUAAGAAUUUGGCAUAAAACUUUGAAUAUUUUUAAAGAAAUUUCUAUCAAAAUGGUUCUCCCAAAAAAGGCCUUUCCAACUUUUUAUGCGGCCAACGUCCAAUUAAUACAUAGUAGAGGAGAGUAGAGGAGUACAAAACGAAUCGAAUCGACCAGAUAUACAUCUUCUUGGAUAUAACAUACACUAGACGACGACGCACAAUCGAAAGAGUCAACUAUGUACGAGGCGGGUAAAUGGAGAGAUCUCUCAGGGUGAGAAGAUCAAAAUGUAAAAGUCAAAUAAAAGUAUAACGUUCAAGAAUUAACAUUUUUUCACAGCAAUAAAUACAUAAAAGUCAAAGAUGUGUGCACAAAAGAGGGAACAGAGGCGUAACCAGAGAGGGGGUAUGGAUAGUUUCAGCUUGAUUGGAUCGAACAUAUGUCAGCCACAUCCACUCC